GACGAACGCUGGCGGCGUGCUUAACACAUGCAAGUCGAGCGGUAAGGCCCUUUCGGGGGUACACGAGCGGCGAACGGGUGAGUAACACGUGGGUGACCUGCCCUCAGCUCUGGGAUAAGCCUGGGAAACCGGGUCUAAUACUGGAUAUGACUCCAUGACGCAUGUUGUGGGGUGGAAAGCCUUGUGCGGCUGAGGAUGGGGCCCCGCGGCCUAUCAGCUUGUUGGUGGGGUGANGGCCUACCAAGGCGACGACGGGUAGCCGGCCUGAGAGGGCGACCGGCCACACUGGGACUGAGACACGGCCCAGACUCCUACGGGAGGCAGCAGUGGGGAAUCUUGCGCAAUGGGCGAAAGCCUGACGCAGCGACGCCGCGUGAGGGAUGACGGCCUGGU
rnacentral:rRNA from 1 species